rnacentral:rRNA from 1 species
ACUUGCCUACGGGGCGCAGCAGUGGGGAAUAUUGCACAAUGGAGGGAACUCUGAUGCAGCGACGCCGCGUGAGUGAAGAAGUAAUUCGUUAUGUAAAGCUCUAUCAGCAGGGAAGAAAGUGACGGUACCUGAAAAAGAAGCUCCGGCUAAAUACGUGCCAGCAGCCGCGGUAAUACGUAUGGAGCAAGCGUUAUCCGGAUUUACUGGGUGUAAAGGGAGAGUAGGUGGCAGAGCAAGUCCGAAGGGAAAACCCAAAGCUCAACUAUGGGAAUGCUUUAGAAACUGCUCAGCUAGAGUGAAGGAGG